rnacentral:rRNA from 1 species
GUCGGCGUUGGGGAUCGGCCCCUCACCGGGCCGCCCCCGAAAUACAGUGGCGGUCUCGCCGCAGCCUCUCCUGCGCAGUAGUUUGCACACUCGCACCGGGAGCGCGGCGCGGCCACAGCCGUAAAACACCCCAAACUCUGAAAUGUUGACCUCGGAUCAGGUAGGAAUACCCGCUGAACUUAAGCAUAUCAAUAAGCGGAGGAAAAGAAACCAACAGGGAUUGCCCCAGUAACGGCGAGUGAAGCGGCAACAGCUCAAAUUUGAAAUCUGGCCCUUUCGGGUCCGAGUUGUAAUUUGUAGAGGAUGCUUUUGGCAAGGCGCCGCCCGAGUUCCCUGGAACGGGACGCCACAGAGGGUGAGAGCCCCGUCUGGCUGGCCGCCGAGCCUCUGUAAAGCUCCUUCGACGAGUCGAGUAGUUUGGGAAUGCUGCUCAAAAUGGGAGGUAUAUGUCUUCUAAAGCUAAAUAUUGGCCAGAGACCGAUAGCGCACAAGUAGAGUGAUCGAAAGAUGAAAAGCACCUUGAAAAGAGGGUUAAAUAGUACGUGAAAUUGUUGAAAGGGAAGCGCUUGUGACCAGACUUGGGCGCGGCGGAUCAUCCGGGGUUCUCCCCGGUGCACUUCGCCGUGUCCAGGCCAGCAUCAGUUCGUCGCGGGGGAAAAAGGCUUCGGGAACGUGGCUCCCCUGGGAGUGUUAUAGCCCGUUGCAUAAUACCCUGCGGUGGACUGAGGACCGCGCAUCUGCAA